UGGGGGGGGGGGCAGUAGUUCCCAGGCUCCCACUUUUAUCCUCCGCAAUCUGGUCCCUUCUGCUCCGCGAGAGUGGGCUUCAGUCUUUAAACUCCCUGGCUUUAAACCACGUGGAUCUGGUUGAAAUGGAUCAGAAUACAGUUGCAGGCUCACAUCUUCUGGGUGGGGGCCCCAGAAGGCCUGGAGGCAGGCACGCACAGGACAAAUCCUAUCUUGAAGGCACCAUGUAGAGGUGGUUGUUUUGAAUCUGGGACUUCAUUAUGUUGCUCAGGCUGAUCUCAAAACUCCUGGAAUCAAGGAAUCCUCCCGCCUCAGUCUCCCCAAUACCUGAAACUACAAGUGUAUGCUCACCACAGACGGCAGCCCAGAUGUUUUCACAGGACAAUUUUAAGCCUUGUUACUACCUGAAGUUUCAAUUUUUUAUCCGGGCACCCAGCCAGGAGCUAGGAGAAAGCUAGGACAUGCGAAGGCAAGUCCACUCAGAAGAGGGAGGCCAGAGCAGGGCUUUCACAGCUCAGGACCAGAGACAGGUGGUAGGGCUUCAGGAUCUACUUUUACUUAGUCAUAUGAAGUUGUCACCAAGUGAUCUAUUCUGAGGUCACUGAAGGACUUAGGAUCUGCCUCUGUGGAACAAGAAAUCCUAAGCCCCUGAGGAGAUGGGCCUUGGGAACACCAAAGGUGAAAAGUCAGCUGAUCCCAAAGAAUGUUCUAUGAGGUCCCAGGACUAAAGGAAGAGAGGUGAUGGAGCAAGUGUUGUGGAAGGAGCCCCAGCCACCUGCCUGCACAGCUUACUCAAGCCCUCUGGUACCUGUUCAAACUGAAUCUCUUGUAUACCAUGUCCAUGUGAUAUGAACCUGCUGCCAAAUGUGCCCCAUUCCCUGUCUUGGUAUUUUGUUACAAUAGUGGAAAACUGACUAACACAAAUGUUAUCCAGAUGAAAAUUGGGGCAGAUGCUAUGGAAGGGAGAAUGGAUACUAAGGAAAUAACCACAAUUUCAUCUAAAGGAGGCCACAAGAACAGUGGCGACAAUUUCCGAAUUCUACUACAGGAUGUCUGGGCUUUAUCUGGUAAGACCGAAACCUGUGAAUGACUUCAGCUGGGAGCUAGAAUUAUCUGAGCCUACAUCACUCACAGGCCUGGUGCCUGGGUUGGGAAAAUCAGAAGACUCAUGCAGUCAGAAGAGUGCCUAUCCAUGGUCUCUCCAUGAAGCUUGACUUCCUAACAGCAUGGAAGCCACAGGGCAGUUAGACGUCCAGCAAGCUGCCUCUGGUCUCCAACACUCAAACUGGUUGCCAAGGGUUAGAGAUUCAGAAGAGUUCAACUACAAAGAGAACUUUGAGGGUGAUGGAACUGUUUGUGGUGAUGGUGAAUCUAAACAUAUGCUAAAACUUUCAGAAGUUUUAACACCCCUCCAAAAAGUCAAUUUUUAUUGUAUGUAAACUCAAAAAUAAAAU